rfam:Gossypium arboreum cultivar AKA8401 contig_31825_9, whole genome shotgun sequence.
UAUUAAAAUUUUCAUCUAUUUGUACUGUUAAAAAUUGGCAUGAUUGACAGAAUAACCGGACAAAGACAUUUUACGUAUAAUAUGUAUUUUAUGCCAACGUUCGUGAACCAAUUUGUAAUAACAGAAAUGGAUGAAAAUUUUAACA